rnacentral:lncRNA from 1 species
AGUGGUUCUUACCCUAUUUCCCAGGCCUGAGGGCGAGAAUUCCUUUGGCAGUAAAUUUAGCCCAUACCCUACCAAAGCUUCAGCUCCUUUGUAGCACCGCUAUAAUUAUUACUCAAAAUAAUAAUUAACGUUGUCUCUUUGCAUGGUGCUCUAAAGCAGGGAGCUCCUCCAUCGCGGGGAGGGGGGUUUGGCUCAUCUCUGGGUCUCCAGCCCCUGGCACCUGGAGGCUGAGGUGAAGUUCAUUGGAUAGAUGGAUGAUGGAUGAGCAGAUGAACACAGGAGGGGAGGAGUCCUGGGUGAGCAGGUGGCUGUCUGUCAGUCUGCACCCCACAGGGAGGGCUCCUGGGGGGCUGGAUCCGAGCGUGAGUCAUCUUCACCAGGCCUCAGGAAACACUCAAGAAUGAAUAAUUAUGAAUGAAUUGCUUAAUGAUGGGCUGCCACUGCCCAUUAUGUUAUUUCAGCCUCGUGCUUCAGCCCGUGGGACGGCAGAGCAGAUCAAAGCAUCGGUCCAUUUUACGGUCGGGACCAGUGAGGCUCAGCGAGCGAGAAUCCCAGCCAAACCUGCAAAUAACGUUCCUGCAUAAACAUGAAAUACAGGUCGCUGUGUUGAGCGGCGUUUUCCCAGCGCCACUUCUUCUGGGAUCCUGAGGACCUGGUGGGCUGUCGGGGGUCCUUCCAGAGGCCCGCAGAGGGCACGGGCUCCCUCCGCCACGUGGUGCGGGCUCGGGAGGGAGGGCGGGCUGAGCGCAGGGCGGGGCCCCAUCAAAGGUGGAACCAGCACCGCAACGUCUCUGUGCGGUACCGUCAGGAAAACCCACGUGAGAGAAAUAAACGUCUGUUUCAAAAUAAACUGCA